CUGCAACAGACAGCGGUGGCUAGAGUGAUCAAGUUAUGCACGGUGGCUGAAGACGCAAAUGAUCCUCCAAUUCCUCAGGAAGUGGAUGAACUCUUGGAACAGUAUGCAGCAUUGUUCAAAAAACCCAAAGGUCUGCCACCACAGCGCUCUUUUGAUCACUCCAUUCCCUUGGUGCCAGGAGCUCGACCAGUCAACAUACGACCCUAUCGGCACAGCCCGGCCCAGAAAGAUGAGGUGGAAAGGCAAGUCACUGAGAUGCUAGCUCAAGGAAUAAUUCAGCUCAGCUCCAGCCCGUUUGCAUCGCCGCUCUUUUUGGUUCAAAAGAAGGAUUUGACUUGGCGAUUCUGCAUUGAUUACCGGCACCUCAACGCUAUCACAAUCAAGAACAGGUUUCCCCUGCCGGUGAUUGAGGAACCUCUCGAUGAGCUAGUAGGGUCAUGUUGGUUUACUACCCUGGACCUGCGUUCGGGCUAUCAUCAGAUCCGCGUGAGACCAGAAGAUGCCCACAAAACGGCCUUCAAAACACAUCAUGGUCAUUUCGAGUUCAAGGUGUUGUCAUACGACUUGACGGGAGGGCCAGCCACCUUUCAGGGAGGGAUG
rnacentral:rRNA from 1 species